rnacentral:rRNA from 1 species
CUACGGGGGGCUCCAGUGGGGAAUAUUGCACAAUGGACGAAAGUCUGAUGCAGCAACGCCGCGUGGAGGAUGACACAUUUCGGUGCGUAAACUCCUUUUAUAGGUCAAGAUAAUGACGGUAGCCUAUGAAUAAGCGCCGGCUAACUCCGUGCCAGCAGCCGCGGUAAUACGGAGGGCGCAAGCGUUACUCGGAAUCACUGGGCGUAAAGAGCGUGUAGGCGGGUUAAUAAGUCAGAAGUGAAAUCCAAUGGCUCAACCAUUGAACUGCUUUUGAAACUGUUAACCUAGAGUAUGGGAGAGGUAGAUGGAAUUUCUGGUGUAGGGGUAAAAUCCGUAGAGAUCAGAAGGAAUACCGAUUGCGAAGGCGAUCUACUGGAACAUUACUGACGCUGAGACGCGAAAGCGUGGGGAGCAAACAGGAUUAGAUACCCUAGUAGUC